UAUGUAUUACGUGGUCCCCAUCAUACCUCAAGCUAUCUGUUUGAUUUCAGCUCUCCGAUACUUACUUCUUGAGCACCCAGCAGCUUUGAUGGCACUAACUCCCAUUCUGUUCAGACAGAUGAGCAAUUCUCUGGGCAUGUCAGUAAAUAUUCCAGAGGUAAUUAAGAUAUAGCUGUCUCCACAGCUUCCUAUGCUCCAGACCCACGUUCAGACAUUGAAAUACCUACAUGACUUGCCACUGAGAAGGAAACUAACCCCCUAAUCAAUAUAAUGUGCACACUUCAGCCUCCAUCAGACCCCCCAGCUUACUGACGUGAUAUCCUGUACCACUGGUAAGAACACAAAAACCUGAUAUAAUGGGAAGCACAUCAGAAAACAGUUCAAGGAUAUAUGAGAACAAAACAAACUCUCUUCUACCAUUAUUUUUUUUUCUGAAAUCAGUCAGAUUGGGUCAACUGUUUCAGAUUCUCCAUUACCACAUCUUUGUAAGUAGUCCUGUAACUGCAAGCUCCUCAUUAUUUCAUUUUAUGCAUUACUUCCUUUCACAGCCAUUUCUGCAGAACUAGGGACUCAGUUCAACUGAAAAACUCACAGCCAGCACAAGAGCAUUAACUUCUCUAGACCUGCUUCCUUCCUGACCUCACUGCUUAUUUGGCUGCAAAAGAACUGGAACUGUGCUUUUCAAAAAGAUCUGCUCCUGACCUCUGUUUUUAUCUCUGUAUCUCACCCUGAACAAACAACAGGAGUCAUACCUACUUAAGCAAGCCACACAAAAGUCAGAGGGCUUUCCUGCACAUCUGGCUAGCUUAUGCAGGCUUCCCUGGGGAAAAGGAAUCAAGAAGGCUGUGUUUUUCAGUUUCUCAAGAAACAGAAGAUUGAACACCAGGCUUUUCUGAGCAGAAAGAAGUAAAGGUCUGAUGCUGAAAACUACCACCCACCCAAACAGCAAUGGGGUUGCUACAGGCAACAGCUUUGCUGGAGACAGGGCUAAGAUACUGGGAAACAUGCGCUGCUGACACUUGCCCCAGGAGAGUAAUCACCAGUCACCUCCUGCAGGCCCUGUAGUCCACAGGCACACCAUACACAUGGUACUGCAACUGGCUUUAUCACAAGCAAUAACCCUUUUGCUGUCUAACAUGCACCUCAUCAUUACAAGUCUUACAGCAGUUCACACGUGGCACACAGCACAUUAGACACUAUGGGAUUGCACUAAGUUUCUCCUCCUGCAGCACCUCUCUGCUUCUGCUAAUGCUUCAGGUAUUGCUUGGUGACUGCUAGUUACUAAAAAUAAAAGGUUUGUUUGACCUGCUUUCUGGGAGGAAACAGAAACUACACAGAUUAGCCUAACAGUAGCUCUCCAUGUCCACCUGUCCAUCCCACCUUAGUUUUUGUGUGUACUGACCAAUUAAAUCUAGAUUGUCUCAACAGAGAGAGACUCCACUGAAGUGUCUGCAAAAAGACGAGGGCAUAAGUCUGAUACUAGAAAACUCCCACAGAAACAAGUGUUCUGUAAUAAAAGAAGUUCCCACAAAACUCCUUAUCCUCUUCAAAAAACAAAUAUGAUAGCAAUAAAAUAUAAAAUUU